rnacentral:rRNA from 1 species
AAACUUUCAACAACGGAUCUCUUGGUUCCCGCAUCGAUGAAGAACGCAGCGAAACGCGAUAGUUAAUGUGAAUUGCAGAAUUCAGUGAAUCAUCGAGUCUUUGAACGCACAUUGCGCCUUUUGGUAUUCCGAGAGGCACGCCUGUCUGAGCGUCAGU